rnacentral:lncRNA from 1 species
CUCUGUUCUCCGCGCCGCACUGAGGGGCUUUCUUCGCAGCCGUGGGAAACUGGUGGGCGAGCGCGCGCCCCGCCGCCAUGUGGACGCUCGGCCAGGGAAAGCCCAGUGAACCAGAAAAGGAGAAUUUUUCUGCAGUGCUGGAGUGUGAAAACGGCUACAGGAGGAGGAAAUGCCAGCUUCCACCCAGUUCUUCCUCCAUCACCCUCACGAACUUCUUGGCCAGGCUCUGCUCACCACCCCCCACCCGCACCCCCUACCUCCAACCUAGAGCACUUGAGAUGACUAACUGCAGCGUGGAUGUCAAGGCAGGCCUGGAGCUCAGGAGGAGGGUACAGAGAGAAACCUGCUUUACCAUUGGUGAACUUGACAUCAUGGUCUUGGACACGCACUGUGGAAAGAUGGGCUUGUACAUUCAAAAUGCAGGAAGCAGUGAGCUCCAGGAGAUGGUGAAGCUCCGGGAGUAGUGAAGAACAGGGAAGCCUGGCAUGCUGCAGUCCAUGGGGUCACACAGAGGUGGAAGGACUGAGUGACUGAACAAUAGCAACAAAGCAGUGAGCUCAAGGUCUGACCCAUAGCCCUCGCAUUCUGCUGAUGGGAAUGAGGGAAGACACCCAGAUGCACAGCCUCUGUAGCUGGAGACCAGACAGUGUUUCAUAGCAUCCUUCAUGACGGAGACCUUGAGGGUGGUUAUGUCCAAGGGCUGGUGAGUUGUCCGAGGAUGAGCCUCAAGGCCCAUGGCAGCAAGGAAAGCACUUCCUAUACAGCCUCCAAGUCUUCAGCAUGUUUGCAGGCACUUGGAUGGAGCUGUAGGUGGAAGACUCCUCAAGUUUGCAGACCAUCAAAUCUGAGAAGAGUAGGAAAUGCACUGUGUGAUAAAAGCUAACAGGUUUGCUCAGGCUGGGUGAAUAGGGCCCAUUUCUGAGAUGAGUCUGAAGACGGUUCAGUGUCACACUCUGCUUAUGGGGUCCAAGACAUCACCUGCCUCAGCAUGUGUGGGGAAAAAAAAAAAAACACGGAAGGAUCUGGGGUAUUCAGCAUAUUGCCAAUCAACUGUGUGGUUAAUCUGAACAAAACAGAGAUGUGAUCUUCAGCUACAUUGAAGAAGUUCUUGUUUUCCAAGAUUUCUUUGUCCUGUGAAUCCCAUUAAGGGAUUUCUUAUGGGUCCACUGACCACUCAAAUCAAAAACUUCUGGGGCUUGUUAAAAAUUCAGAUUUGGGGGCCCACCUAGAUUAUUCAUUCAGGCUGUAUAGGGAGGAAGCCCCAGAAGAUGUAUUUUCAACCACCUCCCAAGUGAUUUUUUGAGAACAUUUUCAACCCUGCCUACCUCUUUAGCUAAUGCUAUGCCCUCUUGCCAGGACUGUUUUACUGCUGAGCAAAAUAAGAGGACCCCCUGCCCAGCCAAGCUUCCCUCUAGGCUAGAAAUUCUACUAGUGGAACUUGGUCCUUUGGGUUAGAAUCCCACC